GAUGAAGAACGCAGCGAAACGCGAUACGUAAUGUGAAUUGCAGAAUUCAGUGAAUCAUCGAAUCUUUGAACGCACAUUGCGCCCCCUGGUAUUCCGGGGGGCAUGCCUGUCCGAGCGUCAUUACAACCCUCAAGCUCAGCUUGGUGUUGGGCCCCGCCGCCCCGGCGGGCCCUAAAGUCAGUGGCGGUGCCGUCCGGCUCCGAGCGUAGUAAUUCUUCUCGCUCUGGAGGUCCGGUCGUGUGCUCGCCAGCAACCCCCAAUUUUUUUCAGGUUGACCUCGGAUCAGGUAGGGAUACCCGCUGAACUUAAGCAUAUCAAUAAGCGGAGGA
rnacentral:misc_RNA from 1 species